rnacentral:rRNA from 1 species
AUUGAACGCUGGCGGCAGGCCUAACACAUGCAAGUCGAACGGUAACAGGAAGCAGCUUGCUGCUUUGCUGACGAGUGGCGGACGGGUGAGUAAUGUCUGGGAAACUGCCUGAUGGAGGGGGAUAACUACUGGAAACGGUAGCUAAUACCGCAUAACGUCGCAAGACCAAAGAGGGGGACCUUCGGGCCUCUUGCCAUCGGAUGUGCCCAGAUGGGAUUAGCUAGUAGGUGGGGUAACGGCUCACCUAGGCGACGAUCCCUAGCUGGUCUGAGAGGAUGACCAGCCACACUGGAACUGAGACACGGUCCAGACUCCUACGGGAGGCAGCAGUGGGGAAUAUUGCACAAUGGGCGCAAGCCUGAUGCAGCCAUGCCGCGUGUAUGAAGAAGGCCUUCGGGUUGUAAAGUACUUUCAGCGGGGAGGAAGGGAGUAAAGUUUAUACCUUUGCUCAUUGACGUUACCCGCAGAAGAAGCACCGGCUAACUCCGUG